rnacentral:lncRNA from 1 species
UUAGAGAAAAAUAUAAUGACACAAUUCAAAUAUUUGGUAAGUUUGCUAAUAGACAACAAAUUGCAAUCAAGUUUGGACACAUACAGUACAAAAUCUAGAAUAAUAUUUUUUGAAAUAACAAUUGAACCUGUACCAACAACUUUUGAUGCAGUAGCAUCAACAUUCUGAAUAGUGGAGUUAUUAUGACAAGGAGAAUAAGUGUGAAAUACAGUUAUAUCUCCAGUCAUGUGAUACAGUUAUAUCUCUAUGAUCACUGAUUUUGAUUUUCAUGUGCUAGUGUGUAAAGCAUGCAAAAAAUUACAUAGUUUGUUGGAGCAUUUUCUGUAGAGCUUCCAUUUGUUAUUUGAUGAAGGGAGAUAGAUCAUGUUUAUCCUUUGUUUCUUGAGAACACUUCUUGGACUUUUUGAAGUAGUUUGGUUCCAAUCACCCUUCCACGCACUUCAUCAAGAUCUUUGUCAAGUCUCAAAUUUUGUUUGUAGAUUAUAUCAUUUUCUACCAGCUCUUUGUACUCUUUCUUGUCAUCCGUAUAAUUUCAUUGCUGCUAAUAUCGACUAAGGGUGUUGAAGUAUUUUGGAGGUUGGGUUAUCUUUUCUUGGACUAUUUGCAGUCUUCUGCGACGUAGCC